rnacentral:rRNA from 1 species
UACAGGGGGUGCAAACGUUGCUCGGAAUCAUUGGGCGUAAAGCGCACGUAGGCGGUUCGUUAUGUCGGAUGUGAAAGCCCUUGGCUUAACCGAGGAAGUGCAUCCGAAACUGGCGAGCUAGAGUACGAAAGAGGAUCGCGGAAUUCCCGGUGUAGAGGUGAAAUUCGUAGAUAUCGGGAGGAACACCGGUGGCGAAGGCGGCUCACUGGACCGUAACUGACGCUCAUGCACGACAGCGUGGGGAUCAAACAGG